AGGAUGAGGUUCCUUAUUUUAACUGUGUGUCUGCCUGUACUGCUACAGGCGAGCAUUUUACUCCCAACAUAUCACACUUCGUGUGAUUAUCAGGGCACGGUUUACCAAGAGGGAGCACAUUUCCAACCAGACGCCUGUACGUACUGUAGCUGCUACCAAGGCAGGAUGAAUUGUGCGAUUCAGGACUGCGCCGCCCCACCAUGUAUGAACUACGUAACCAAGCCUGGCCGCUGUUGUCCUAUCUAUCCCAACGGUCCUGACAUUCUAGGCUGAUCCUGAAGUACAUACUAUUUCUGAAGGGCGGACAGCAAUGGACAUUGUGAACUGUGUGUACAGAUCGAUACCAUAGACUAAACAUGUGCCUCAGAUAUGUUAAUGACAUCUCUGUAUAUUACUAUAUCGUUUAAUAAAUUAACUAACAAUAGACACUUGACGCGUAGAAACAAUAUGUUUUGCAACUCCGUGAAUAAAAGUUAACUUGA
rnacentral:lncRNA from 1 species